UAGGGAAUCUUCCGCAAUGGGCGAAAGCCUGACGGAGCAACGCCGCGUGAGUGAUGAAGGUCUUCGGAUCGUAAACCUCUGUUAUUAGGGAAGAACAAAUGUGUAAGUAACUAUGCACGUCUUGACGGUACCUAAUCAGAAAGCCACGGCUAACUACGUGCCAGCAGCCGCAGUAAUACGUAGGUGGCAAGCGUUAUCCGGAAUUAUUGGGCGUAAAGCGCGCGUAGGCGGGUUUUUAAGUCUGAUGUGAAAGCCCACGGCUCAACCGUGGAGGGUCAUUGGAAACUGGAAAACUUGAGUGCAGAAGAGGAAAGUGGAAUUCCAUGGGUAGCGGUGAAAGGCGCAGAGAUAUGGAGGAACACCAGUGGCGAAGGCGACUUUCUGGUCUGUAACUGACGCUGAUGUGCGAAAGCGUGGGGAUCAAACAGG
rnacentral:rRNA from 1 species